ensembl:lncRNA
CUGACCUUAUAAAUGCAGAAAUUUAGCUUUCAAAAGCUGCACGAUCUCUUUGAAGAUGUUAUUCUUACAGCUUAGCACCUAGUUUGCUGGCUUCGGAAAAUGUCCAUGAAGUGUCUGAGGAAACACCUCUUUCAACUUGAGCUUAUGAACACAAAUAUUUCUGAUUAGACUCUCUACAGAAAAGGCCUCUUCUGUUCUGAUCAAGUCUUCCUUGUCUACCUGCUCUCUCCAAUGACCUAUAUGUAUCUUACGCAAAACGCAAAGCGUUCUUUUUCUGCUUCUGCCAAUACCCUUCCUUCAGCUUAAGCAUAUUACAGCAUUAUUAGCAUUCAGAAGCAGAAUGAAGAGCUCAGCUCAGACCCUUCCCUUCCACUUCCAGGCUGUUGUUCCCACAUCGGAGACGGUGUCCCUGGGGAGCCAGAUCCGCCACCUCAACAUCCCCCUGCAGGAAUCAGCGAGGCAGCCUGGCUUUACCAACACGAGUUUGAAACAGUGAAGGGAACUGAACCGACGUCCUGCGCUGUUCCACAAAAGCACUACCUUCACAUCUCCCUCCCAUCACAAACUCCAGCAUGUUUUACUUCUCAGAGUAUCACAUUUCAAUACAAACUGGAGCUACUGCUACUUAUUCAGCAUACAUUCCUGAUUUUGUGUUCACUGAGUUCAUCAGGCACUCAUGCGAUAGUGUCUUAUUUUGUGGCUGUUGCACUGUGUUCCCAGGUGCUAUGUCAAUAAUACAAGUCAAUAAGGAAAUCUUAAUCAGGCUCCAUAAUUUUUGUGUCGCUCAACUGCAAAAAUGGUGUGGGCUUUUGUUACUGUGUAAGACAAAAGGAGCACAGAAUGGGAAGGAAAAGGGAAUAUCCUGACACACCAUUUAGCACGCAUAACUAUUUGUGGAAUUAAGAUCUUGACAUUUUUUUCAUGUUUUCCAUACAG